UGGCUCACAAAGUAUUCUAUGAUCCUUAAUAAUUGAAAUCUUUAGCGUUUUGUAAUUAUGUUUAAAAUAUACAGUCUUUACACUUUAUAAAUGAAAGCCAUGCUCAGACCACAUCUUUAUAGGGGAAGCUUUGUAAUCCAGUGGUAAAAGGAUUGAUUAACUUUUGUGAGCUUUGUUCUCUCCUUUGUAAUCUCCCAUAGGGUGUAUCCCACAAAGUGUGUCUGUUCAAUUAUGCCCCACUGGAUAUGUCUCUGAGGAAGAGGAAAUUGGAGGAGUGAGGGGCCUGGCACAGUAUAAACACUCACACCAUGUUCUACACGCGAUGGAGUGGGAAACAAGCUGGCAC
rnacentral:lncRNA from 1 species